GUAGCAGUUCGCGGUAGCACGAAUUCGGUAACUGCUACUAAAAAUGUGAAAAUUCGGAUUUCAACUCUAUCGUAGCAUUAAAUUCGCACUACUAAAUAUUUUCACUAAAUAAAGCCCAAAAAUCACUAAUAUAGCGGGGAAUUCAUUUUGGAGGCAAAACACUUAGCCAAAAUUUUAGUUUUUUGUCACCUAUACACAGAAUUUUCAUUUCCUCUUUACAAAGAAAGAAAAUUUUUGUAACACAGAAAAAAAAUCAUUCAUUCUAAUUCAUAGAAAAAAACCUCAUUCUGUCGACAAAAAAAAAAAACCAUUCUCUCCAUCUUCCUUUUCUUCCAUUGUUUAACUUAUUUCUCUAAUCUGGGUUUCUUUCUUCAACUUCGACAAGAGAAAGUCGUUUCCUUUUCCUCCUCAGCUUCCACUUUGCUUAGAUUGAUUGAAACCCCAGUGCUAUGGUGUUGCAACUGGAGAUUUCCGCCUCGCCGCUGCUGCGAUGCUCUCCUCACUGCCAACACUCACUCUCAUCCUUCCUCAAGCUUCCCCAUUUCUUCACGCCAAAGAGCUUUGUCGCAACCACCGUGGAAGAGGCGUCUGGUAACAUAUCAGCGGCUCCAAUUUCUCUACCUGAAGGUUCGUGGAAACAGGUUUUUAGUUUGCAUAUGUAAUUACGAUCUUCUCAUCUCUUCAAAGUUCGAAAGGUUGAAUCUUUUGUUCUUGUUGUUUAGAUAGGGGGUGAAGUCACAGCUGCUAAAGGGUUUAACACUGCUGGUAUGCAUGCUGGGUUACGAGCUUCAGGGAAGAAGCCUGAUCUCCCUCUUGUAACCUGUGAUGUCGAUGUUGGCGCUACAGGUUCAAUGCUGGUUUACGAGCUUCGGGGGUGUUGUUGUGAUUUGUCUCUUUUGCAGGUCUUACUCAAGUAAUCACUUCUCAGCACUCCCUCUGGAUUCUUUGAGUUGUUACCUCGGUUCCAACUCAGAGUCGUAAGGGUAGUUACCUUAGUAGUUUCUUUGCUUCUUAUGUUGUUUGUUGGAGGAGGACUCAUUAGUAGAUUUGCAUAGCUCCUUGGCAUGUUUAACUUCUCUGUUUUAGUUGCACUUUGAACUGAUAUCACAUUGCUUCCUGCAACUUUU